UGGGGAAUAUUGGGCAAUGGGGGAAACCCUGACCCAGCAACGCCGCGUGAAGGAAGAAGGUUUUCGGAUCGUAAACUUCUAUCCUUGGUGAAAAUAAUGAUGGUAGCCAAGAAGGAAGCCCCGGCUAACUACGUGCCAGCAGCCGCGGUAAUACGUAGGGGGCGAGCGUUGUCCGGAAUGAUUGGGCGUAAAGGGCGCGUAGGCGGCGCGGUAAGUCCGGAGUGAAAGUCCUGCUUUUAAGGUGGGAAUUGCUUUGGAUACUGUCGUGCUUGAGUGCAGGAGAGGUAAGCGGAAUUCCCGGUGUAGCGGUGAAAUGCGUAGAGAUCGGGAGGAACACCAGUGGCGAAGGCGGCUUACUGGACUGUAACUGACGCUGAGGCGCGAAAGUGUGGGGAGCAAACA
rnacentral:rRNA from 1 species